AAAUUCUUUUAAAAGGGCAUCUAAUCAAAACCUUGGUAAAAAAAGUAAGGACGUCGCGCUACGAAACGCUGUAAGGAGGCACAGGCUUGUGAUCUACAGAUUUCCUAAAGUAAACUAACAUAAUUUUAUGUAAAAAUAAUGUGAAUUGAACCAUCUUAUUAGCAUUAAAAUAAAUCAAACGAGAUUCCGUAAGUAAUAGCGAAUGAAAGCGGUUAGAGGCUUGGGUUUUUAUUUAUUCGGAAUUCAGAAAACUCAAAAAGGUAAAAGUCCUGUACGUAAUAAAUCAAAAAUACCAAAAAAGAAGUAGUACGAAGACUUACUUUGUAUGAAUAAAGGAGAACCACCUUCUAAGCCUAAAGCUUUUUUUAACCGAUAGUGAACGAGUACCGUGAGGGAAAGGUGAAAAAUACCGUAAGGGUUCUAGUUACAAAAGCUAGAUUAAGAAAUUAGAUGUUUACAAGUUUUCGGAGUUAACAACAACCACGAAGUGCCUUUUGCAUAAUGAGUCAGUAAGUUAUUACGUGUAGCAAGUUUAAGUAAAAAUACGUAAACAAACAAAAGUAACACGUAUUAAACCUGAAGCCGAGUGAUCUAAUUGCGAGCAGGUUGAAAAUUCAGUAACAUGUUUUAGAGGACCGAACUCACAUAUGUAGCAAAAUAUGGAGAUGACUCGUAGUUAGGGGCGAAAGACCAAUCAAACUCGGCGAUAGCCGGUUUUUCACGAAACGUAUUUAAGUACUACGUUAUUAGCUAAUAAAUUUUAGGUAGAGUACAGACUAAACAAAGGGGCAUAAAAACUUACUAAGUUUAGUUUAACUCCUAACUAUAACUUAAUUUCAAUAGCAGACAGUCUUUAGGCGAUAAGGUCUAAAGACGAAAGGAAAACAAUCCAGAUCGUAUACUAAGAUCUCAAAAUUGUAGUUCAGUGAAGAAGGUUUUUAAAAUUUCAAAUAAUAAAUAGGAUAGGCUUAGAAGCAGCCUUUCAUUAGAGAAAGCGUUUUAGCUCAUUAUUUUAUUUUCAAAAACCAAAAAUUAAAGGAGACUCUAAACUACAUAUCGAAGUAACGGAUUAGUCAUAAACUAAUGGUAGUGAAACGUUCUGUAAUUUUUAACAACGUAAGUUUAAAUCAAUAUCAGAAGUGCUAAUGCUGACAUGAGUAGCGCAAACUACGUUAAAAAAUCGUAGUCACUUUAUGUUCAAGGGUUUCAAUGUAAUUUUAAAUUCAUUGAGUGAGUCGGUCCUUAAGAGGUGGGCAAACGCUGUACUCGAUAGGAAUAGAUUUUAUAACCAAUUAUAUGUUUAAGUAAUAACUUAUAUGUAAAUAAAUAUAAACACAGUGUAUUCUCCAACUUAAAGAUUAAAGAUACAUAUAAUUAUAUUUCUCAAGAAAAAAUUAUAGUGCAAGACCGUACCCAAACCGACACAGGUGAACUUAUCGAGAAGAUAAAAGUGAAUGAAAGAACUGUACUGAAGGAACUCGGCAAAUUAACUCUGUACGUUCGCAAUAAAGAGAACCAUACUUAAAUUAUGGUGGCACGAAAUAAAAAACAACGACUGGUUACCAAAACCACAGGACUCUGCAAAUUAUUACAAAAAGUAUAGAGUCUGACGCCUGCCCAGUGCUUAAAAGUGAUAAACUUAAGUGAGAGCUUAAGUUGUAACCUUAAGUAAACGGCGGUUCUAACUAUAAGAAUCCUUAGGUAGCGAAAUUCCUUGACGGGUAAGUUCCGUCCUGCAUGAAUGGCGUCACGAUUGUUUUACUGUCUCCAGUACAGCUUCAGCGAAAUUACAUAACCUAUGAAAAUGUAGGUUACCUACAGUAAGACGGAAAGACCCUAGAUCCUUUACUCUAUCUUUGUAUUGUAACAUACUAAAACAUUGUGUAGAAUAAGUGGGAAUACUUCAAGAAAGUAUAAACCUGAAAUACCACUCAAAGUAUUAGAAUUUUACUAAUUUACGUAAAAAUUCGUAAAAACAGUAUAAAAAGGGGAGUUUACUUGGGACGAGUACCUCCUAAAAUGUAACGGAGGUGUACAAAGGUGAAUCUCAUUUGCUUAAAAUAAGCAAUGAAGCGUAUAAUGGCAUAAGUUCGCUUAACAGAAAGAUUGAUAAAUCAACCUGAGACGUAAGUCGGUCAUAGUGAUCCGGUAUUCAAGUGUGGAAUUGUUACCGCUCAACAAAUAAAAGGAACUCUAGGGAUAACAGAUUCAUCGUGGCUGAGAGUCCUUAUUGACGCCACGGUUUGAUACCUCGAUGUCGACUCAUCUUAUCCUGGAAUUGAAGAAGAUUCCAAGGGUCUAGUUGUUCGCUAGUGAAAAAGGUACGUGAGUUGGGUUCAGAACGUCGUGAGACAGUUCGGUCCCUAUCUGCUGUAGGCAAGAAAAGAAAAAAGACUAUUUCUAGUACGAGAGGACCGAAAUGUUUUAACCACUGGUGUAUUGAUUGUCAUAUCUUUGGCAUUGUCAAGUAGCUACGUUAAUUGUGUAUAUGUACUGAAAGAAUCAAAAGUACGAAGACAUCUUUAAGUUGCUUUUCAUGAAUAAUCUAAAAGACUAUUAGAUAGAUCGGUUUAAUGUGCUUAUUUAGUAAUAAAUACUGCUUAUAAAUACGAAUUUAUUCAACAAAGACUUUAA
rnacentral:rRNA from 1 species